UUAAGCAACUAGGUGGAUUUAAUGAAAAUCUAUAUAAUAUGAAAUUAAAAGGUGAAAUUUAGUGGUUAUUAUUUAUUAUUUAGAGGUAAAAUAAGAGGCCGAAGUUGUUAAUAUUAGGGGUUAAACCGGGAUUAGAUACCCCGCUAUUCCUGAAUCUAAUUAUUUUACUUGAGUAGUAAACAGAUAUAGUCUCGAAACUCAAAGAAUUUGGCGGUAUUUAAGUCUCGUUAGAGGAACUUGCACUGUAAACGAUAUACCCCGAAAAUCUGACAUUAUCUUGAAGAUUCAGCUUGUAUACCGCCAUUAUUAGAUGGUUUCAUUAGAAAUCCAUCUUAAUGAAUUUAUAUUCGGUAUAUUAGGUCAAGGUGCAGCUAAUGAUAAUGAAGAUGUGAGUUACAAUAUUACUUAAAUAUUAUGAAUAUGGUUUAGAAUUAGAUUUGUUGAAAGUGGAUUUAAUUGUAAACAGGGUAGAUUAUGCCUGCUUGAUAAAAGCUCUUAAAUAUGUACACAUCGCCCGUCGUUCUCGCUUC
rnacentral:rRNA from 1 species